GCGGCCCCGCGGGUCCUCCAGCCGCCACUUCCGCCUUCACUUCCGGCUCUGGCGGCCGUUUCCAUGGGGACCAAGAUGGCGGCGGCGGGUUUGGGAUGUCGGGAGAGGCCCUGCUGAGCCCCCCCAGCGCCAUGAUCCGUUGGGAAUGCUGGGGCUGAGGGCUCCAAGCCCCAGGAAGGAGGAUGCUCCAGCCCAGCAACUACAGCCUGGUGCUGUUCCUGCAGUUCCUGCUGCUUUCCUACGACCUCUUUGUGAAUUCCUUCUCGGAGCUGCUGCGCACGGCUCCGGCCGUGCAGCUCGUCCUCUUCAUCAUCCAGGACAUCGCCAUCGUCUUCAACGUCAUCAUCAUCUUCCUCAUGUUCUUCAACACCUACGUUUUCCAGGCGGGCUUGGUCAACCUCCUUUUCCAUAAAUUCAAGGGAACCAUCCUGCUCUCCGCAGCCUACCUGGUGCUCAGCAUCUCCUUCCACGUCUGGAUUAUGAACCUGCGCUGGCGUGACUCCAGCCGCUUCAUCUGGACUGAAGGCCUUCAGACCCUGUUUGUUUUCCAGAGGCUGGCGGCCGUGCUUUACUGCUACUUCUACAAGCGGACAGCUGUGCACCUGGGAGACCCCCUCUUCUACCAGGAUUCACUCUGGCUCCGCAAGGAAUUUGCCCACUUCCGUGGCUGAUGGAUCCCCUGGAGUCUCCUUGCACUCCACCGGCUCUGUCGGGGCCGCCACCAUCGCUCCUCGGCUCCGCUGCAGGUCCUGCUCUUCCUCAACGGCUGGUACUGCGCCACAUAUUUUCUCCUGGAAGCGUUCGUGUUCGUGUACAAAGUGCUGCUCCUGCCCUAUCCCGUCUCCAACUUGGUGCUGGACGUGGUUCUGCUCCUCCUGUACCUCGGCAUUGAGGCCACACGCAUCUUCUUCGUGCGGAUCCCUACUGAGGACACGGCCCAGGGACACAGGGAAGCAUCACCCGUGCCAGCUCCACUCCCCAGCCCCGGGAAGGGGGAGGAUCUCACCUUUUCCACUGCCCAUUUCACCUGGUGCCACCUGGACACAUCCCUCCCACCUUUGUUGCUUCUAUGUGGACACAUCCCUCUGAAUUUUCCUGCUUCCCACUUCACCAGGGACCUGCUGCCACACGGAUUCAUCCCUCCCUUUUCCCAGUUCACUCACUGCCCCCUGGCAUAUCCCUCCCACCUUUCCCACUCUCCAAUCCACUCGGACUCCUCAGAGCUUGAGCCAGCUCAAGGUAUGAAGAAUCCUCUUUUUAGUUUCUAUGAUCUUCCAGAAUAAUUCACUAUUUUCCAAUAAAUAUUUAUUUUUA